GGCGGAGAGUGGCGCACGGGUGAGUAACACAUGGCUGACCUGCCCUUCAGCGGGGACAACCAGUGGAAACGCUGGCUAAUACCCCAUACGUUCACACGGAUUAGAAGCGUGUGAAGAAACUUCCGGGGCUGAAGGAGGGGGCUGUGGCCCAUCAGCUAGUUGGUAGGGUAACGGCCUACCAAGGCGAGGACGGGUAGGGGGCCUGAGAGGGUGACCCCCCACACGGGUACUGAGACACGGACCCG
rnacentral:rRNA from 1 species